CACGUAGGAGGCGAGCGUUGUCCGGAAUCAUUGGGCGUAAAGAGCGCGCAGGCGGCUUGGCAAGUCGGGUGUGAAAUCCCGGGGCUCAACCCCCGGGACUGCAUUCGAUACUGUCAGGCUAGAGGUAGGUAGGGGAGAUCGGAAUUCCUGGUGUAGCGGUGAAAUGACGCAGAUAUCAGGAGGAACACCGGUGGCGAAGGCGGAUCUCUGGGCCUUACCUGACGCUCAGGCGCGAAAGCUAGGGGAGCGAACAGG
rnacentral:rRNA from 1 species